GAUGAACGCUGGCGGCGUGCCUAAUACAUGCAAGUCGAGCGAACGGACGAGAAGCUUGCUUCUCUGAUGUUAGCGGCGGACGGGUGAGUAACACGUGGAUAACCUACCUAUAAGACUGGGAUAACUUCGGGAAACCGGAGCUAAUACCGGAUAAUAUUUUAAACCGCAUGGUUCAAAAGUGAAAGACGGUCUUGCUGUCCCUUAUAGAUGGAUCCGCGCUGCAUUAGCUAGUUGGUAAGGUAACGGCUUACCAAGGCAACGAUGCAUAGCCGACCUGAGAGGGUGAUCGGCCACACUGGAACUGAGACACGGUCCAGACUCCUACGGGAGGCAGCAGUAGGGAAUCUUCCGCAAUGGGCGAAAGCCUGACGGAGCAACGCCGCGUGAGUGAUGAAGGUCUUCGGAUCGUAAAACUCUGUUAUUAGGGAAGAACAUAUGUGUAAGUAACUGUGCACAUCUUGACGGUACCUAAUCAGAAAGCCACGGCUAACUACGUG
rnacentral:rRNA from 1 species